rnacentral:rRNA from 1 species
CGUGAGUAACCUGCCCUGGAGUGGGGAAUAACAGCUGGAAACAGCUGCUAAUACCGCAUAAUGCAGUUGGGUCGCAUGGCUCUGACUGCCAAAGAUUUAUCGCUCUGGGAUGGACUCGCGUCUGAUUAGCUAGUUGGUGGGGCAACGGCCCACCAAGGCGACGAUCAGUAGCCGGACUGAGAGGUUGGCCGGCCACAUUGGGACUGAGACACGGCCCAGACUCCUACGGGAGGCAGCAG